AUAUUUUUGGUUGGUGAUUUAGCCUGAAUUUGCUAACAAUGGCAUGGUGUCUACUUUGAUUUUGUUUAGCUGGAAUAAUCAAGUAUUAGUCCAUUCUUUCACUGCUAUUAAAUACCUGAGACUGGGUAGUUUAUAGGGAAAAGAAGAUUAAUUGGCUGAAGGUUCUGCAGACUGUAUGAGAAGCAUAGUGGCUUCUGAGAAAACCUCAGGAAAGUUAGAAUCAUGGUGGUGUAGGAGGACUAGCCACAGACAAAACCACUCAGACACCGGGUUAAGAAGGAAGUGGCUUUAUUUGGCCAGGAGCAUCAGCAGACUUGCAUGUCAAGAACUGAGCUCUCUGAAGAAAGAGUUCCUGGCCCUUUUAAGAACUUACAACUCUAAGGGGUUCACGUGAAAGGGUUGUGAUAGAUUGACAUUCAGAGAUAGCAUAUGUGAUUAGAGGGGGGCUAAUCUUUAACCUCUCUCUUCAUUCCCCCAUUUGAGAACCUUACUCACUAGUGGGAGGUCUCACUCUCAUCUUCACUACCCAGGUCUUUCUGCAAGACAGAUCGACAGUGAUUCAUGUAAUACACUUGUGUAUUACAAGACAUUCAUGUAAUACAUUUGUGCUGAAGUUUUCUGAUGAACCAAGGUAGUAACAAAACUUCUUAGAAGUUGGAGAAAUAUGGGUAACAAACAAAGGAGCAAUAGGAGGGUUGCAGCUGGAGAUCUGGGGAGGAGCUGGUGUUUUUUAGUUUGAGGGUCAUGCAGCUAUAGACCCUGGGAGGAGCAGGAGUUUCUUUAGUUUGAGGGUUGGGCAGCUGCAGAACCCGGGAGAAUCUGAUGUUCUGGUUUGAGGGUCCUGCAGCUGGAGACCCAGAGAGCAGCUGGUGUUUCUUUAGUUUGAUGGCCGUGCAGCUGUAGAACCCAGGGGGAGCUGGUAUUUUUCUAGUAUGAGUGUCCUGCAGCUGGAGACCUGGAGAAGAGCUGAUGUUCUAGUUUGAGGGUCGUGCCGCUGAAGACUCAGGGAGAAGCUGAUGUUCUCGUUUGAGGAUACUGCAGCUGGAGACCUGGAGAGGAGCUGAUGUUAUUCUAGUUUGAGGAUCAUGGAGCUUGAGAUCCACAGAGGAGCAGGUAUUGUUCUAGAUUGAGGUUCAUGUAGCUGAAGACCUGGGGAGCAGCGGGUGUUUUUUAGUUUGAGGGUCAUGCAGCUGUAGAACCCGGGAGGAGCUGGUGUUUUUCUAGUAUGAGUGUCCUGCAGCUGGAGACCUGGAGAGGAGCUGAUGUUGUUCUAGUUUGAGGGUUGUGCAGCUGAAGACUUGGAGGGGAGCUGAUGUUGUUCUUGUUGAGGGUGGUGCAGCUGAAGACUCGGGAAGGAGCUAAUGUUCUAGUUUGAGGGCCGUGAUCUGGGGACUUGGAGAGGAGCUGAUGUUGUUCUAGUUUGAGGGUCAGGCAACUGAAGACCCGGGGAGGAGCUGAUGUUGUUCUAGUUUGAGGUUCAUGCAGCUGGAGACCUGGGGAGCAGCGGGUGUUUUUUAGUUUGAGGGUCAUGCAGCUGUAGAACCCGGGAGGAGCUGGCGUUUUUCUAAUAUGAGUAUCCUGCAGCUGGAGACCAGGAGAGUUGCUGAUGUUCUAGUCUGAAGGUCGUGCAGCUGAAGACGGGGGAGGGUUCUAGUUUGAGUGCCCUGCAGCUGAAGACUCGGGAAGGAGCUGAUGUUGUCCUUGUUUUACGAUCUUUCAGCUGGAGACUCAAAGAGGAGCUGAUGUUGUUCUAAUUUGAGUGUAAUGGAGCUGGAGACCCGGGGUGGAGCUGAUGUUGUUCUAGUUUGAGUGUUGUGCAGCUGGAGAUCCAAGAAGGAGGUGGUCUUGUGGUUCAAAUCUGAGGGUCCUGGAGCUGGAAUCUAUGGGAGGAGUCAAUGCUGCCACUGAUGUCUUAGAUUGUGCAGCAGAAGACCCACAGAGGAGCCGGUGUUGGUGUUCUAGUGUGAGGGUGUGGAUCUGGAGAUCCAUGGGGGAGUGACGUUCUUCUAGUUUUUGGGUUGUGGUGCUGGAGACCCAGGGAGGAGCUCAUGGUGUUCUAGUUGAGGGUCGUGGUGCUGGAGACCCAGGGAGGAGUCGAUCCUUCUGUUGUUUAAGUCUGAAGGUCAUCGAGCUGGAGAUCCGGGGAAGAGCUGGUGCUGCGGUUCAAGUCUGAGGGUCCUGGAGCUUGAGACCCCAGGAGGAGAUGGUGCUGCCACGAAUGUCUUAGGUUGUAAAGCUGGAGACCUGCGAAGGAGCCGGUGUUGCUGUUUUAGUGUGAGGUUUGUGGAGCUGGAGUCCCAGGGGGAAAAUGGUGUUUUUCUGGCUUAAGGGUCAUGCAGCUGACCCUCAGAUGACCUCAAACUAUAACAACACUGCUCCACCCUGGAUCUCCAGCUCCAAAAUCCUCACAAUAGAAAAACAUCUGCUCCUCCCUGAGUGUCCAGCUCCACGAUGCUCAAACUAGAUUAAAAUCAGCUCCUUCCCAGGUGUCCAGCUGCAUGACCCUCAAACUAGAAACACCCGGGGAGGUUUUAUUAGUUUGCUGCUGUUUUUCUAGAUUGAGGGUCAUGCAGCUGGAGACGUGGGGAGGAGCUGAUGUUGUUCGAGUUUGAGGGUCAUGGAGCUUGGAGACCCAGGCAGGAGCUGGUGUUUUUCUAGUUUGAGGGUUGUGCAGCUGGAGACCCAGGGAGAAGCUGAUGUUGCUCUUAUUUGAGAGCUGUGGAGCUGGAGACCUGGAGAGGAGCUGAUGGUGUUCUAGUUUGAUGGUUGCAGAGCUGGAGACCCAGGGAGGAGCUGUUGUUUUUCUAGUUUGAGUUUCGUGCAGCUGAAGACCAUUGGAGGAGCUGAUGUUCUAGUUUGAGGGUUGUGCAGCUGGAGAUACAGGGAGAAGGUGGUCUUGCAGUUUAAAUGUGAGGGUCUUGGAGCUGGAAUCCAUGGGAGGAGCCAAUGCUGCCACUGAUGUCUUAGGUUGUGGAGCUGAAGACCCGCAGAGGAGCCAGUGUUGGUGUUCCAGUGUGAGGUUCGUGGAUCUGGAGACCCACGGAGGAGCAGGUGUUGGUGUUCUAGUGUGAGGGUCAUGGAUCUGGAGAUCCAUGGGGGAGUGGUGUUCUUCUAGUUUGUGGGUUGUGGUGCUGGAGACCCAGGGAGGAGCUGAUUCUUUUGUUGUUUAAGUCUGAAGGUCGUCAAGCUGGAGAUCCGGGGAAGAGCUGGUGCUGCGAUUCAAGUCUGAGGGUCCUGGAGCUUGAGACCCCAGGAGGAGAUGGUGCUGCCACUAAUGUCUUAGAUUGUAAAGCUGGAGAUCUGUGGAGGAGCUGGUGUUUCUGUUCUAGUGUAAGGUUUGUGGAUCUGGAGUCCCAGGGGUGAGCAGUGUUGUUUUAGUUUGAGGGUCAUGGAGUUAGAGACCCGGGGAGGAGCUGAUGUUGUAGUUUGAGGGUCGUGCAGCUGGAGACCCAGGGAGGAGCUGGUGUGUUUCUAGUUGGAGGGUUGUGGAGCUGGAGAUUCAC
rnacentral:lncRNA from 1 species